rnacentral:rRNA from 1 species
UACAGAGGGGGCCAGCGUUAUUCGGAAUUAUUGGGCGUAAAGGGCGCGUAGGCGGCCAUGCGUGUCUUCCGUGAAAUCCCUCGGCUUAACCGAGGACGUGCGGAAGAAACUGCAAGGCUCGAGUCCGGAAGAGGGGGGGCGGAAUUCCCAGUGUAGCGGUGAAAUGCGUAGAUAUUGGGAGGAACACCAGUGGCGAAGGCGGCUCACUGGACCGGAACUGACGCUGAGGCGCGGAAAAGCGUGGGGGAGCAAACAGGG